GCGCCUGUAGCUCAGCUUGGAUAGAGCAUUGGACUUCGAAUCCAAGUGUCGGGGGUUCGAAUCCCUCCAGGCGCGCCA
rnacentral:tRNA from 1 species